AGCAGUCGCCACGGUAAUACGAAGGGGGCUAGCGUUGUUCGGAAUUACUGGGCGUAAAGCGCACGUAGGCGGAUCGAUCAGUCAGGGGUGAAAUCCCAGGGCUCAACCCUGGAACUGCCUUUGAUACUGUCGAUCUGGAGUAUGGAAGAGGUGAGUGGAAUUCCGAGUGUAGAGGUGAAAUUCGUAGAUAUUCGGAGGAACACCAGUGGCGAAGGCGGCUCACUGGUCCAUUACUGACGCUGAGGUGCGAAAGCGUGGGGAGCAAACAGGAUUAGAUACCCCCGUAGUCCCUGUCUCUUAUAC
rnacentral:rRNA from 1 species